GAACAGGGUUAGAUACCUUGGUAGUCCACGCAGUAAACGAUGAAUGCUCACUGUCCGGGCCGUUUAAGGCCUGGGUGGUCAAGCGAAAGCGUUAAGCAUUCCACCUGGGGAGUACGCCGGCAACGGUGAAACUCAAAGGAAUUGACGGGGGCCCGCACAAGCGGAGGAACAUGUGGUUUAAUUCGAUGAUACGCGAGGAACCUUACCCGGGCUCAAACGGAAGGGGACAGUAUGAGAAAUCAUACAUUCCUUCGGGACCGCUUCCGAGGUGCUGCAUGGUUGUCGUCAGCUCGUGCCGUGAGGUGUCGGCUUAAGUGCCAUAACGAGCGCAACCCCUAUCGACAGUUGCUAGCAGGUAAAGCUGAGGACUCUGUCGAGACUGCCGGCGCAAGCUGUGAGGAAGGCGGGGAUGACGUCAAAUCAGCACGGCCCUUACGUCCGGGGCGACACACGUGUUACAAUGGCAGGUACAGCGGGAGGCCACCCGGCGACGGGGCGCAGAACCCGAAAACCUGUCUCAGUUCGGAUAGGAGUCUGCAACCCGACUCCAUGAAGCUGGAUUCGCUAGUAAUCG
rnacentral:rRNA from 1 species